rnacentral:misc_RNA from 1 species
AAGUCGUAACAAGGUUUCCGUAGGUGAACCUGCGGAAGGAUCAUUACAAAUCUCGUGGAUGGUGCGGUUGAUCUUGAUUGACCGUGCUUGAAACAUAUAUGCACAGAGCACGUGCAGAGCAUAACUGCUCCGCAUGUUGCUUUGAUGUUCACGCUUGUUUGUUUGACAGAGUUAUGGUAAACUAAAAUAUAGACAACUUUUAACAAUGGAUCUCUUGGCUCUU